GUAUCCUAGAGUUCCUACAACUCUUGUUAUUGCCUCUGAUGACUGAUCCGAGCCUUCAUGUUGAGUUCGUGCCAAGCCAAAAUCCCCUAGCUGAUAUGGUGAAUCGGUAAGGAACUUCAAUUAGUUGAGCUCUUGAAGCAACUACCUUUAAAGAAGAACCAGCUAGCAUCUCUACCCGGAAUUCUAUCUGAGAAAAGUCAAGUUAUGCAGUUCAGUUCAGGGGAGGGCACCGUAUUUCCUCAGCCAUAUGUGCACAAACACAUCAUUCCUCAAGUGAUCUCCUACAAGCAGUUGACGGAUCUUUAUCCAGGAAGUCAAAUACUCCGAGCAGAUGUUUCUUAAUUCUUCAUGUUUCAUAUAAAGUGUAAAUAGAUUUGCUCAGGAUCGAAACAAGAUCUCUCAGAAUGUCAAUCGACCUUGUUGUUCCUAAUAGAAUCUGUUUUGUCCAUAAAAGACGUUUCACAACUAUGGGUUUAGAUCGUUACAUAUAUAUCAUAGUGGAUCCUCAUAAUAUCCCGACAUGGGAGUGAGGUGUUACAAUAUUAGUGACUACGUAUGUUCUUAAGGUAAGAUAUACAGAUAUGCUUCAGCAACAUGCGUAUGCUGAAACUGUAGGGUAACAAUAGUGAGAUGGAAAAACCAUUUCAGGAUUUAUUUAAUUUUUUGUGGAUCAGUGCUCAUUUUGUUAUGAGAAUUCUCUCAUGAUAUCAUGGCCAAGUACUAAUAAGCUAUAAAAAGUCAGUAAAGGCAGCAGAAAAUUUUCAUCAGACCUGCUCGUUUUUGCAUUGUUUGGAUAUUUUCUCUAUCUCAGCAUUCUUUUGGUACUGUUCUUUCUUUCUUUCAGUUUCUUCUCCAGUGA